UGUUGUGUGAUCAAUGCCUGCUACGUGGGUGUUAUAAUGAUAUAUUAAAUCAUUGUUCUAUAUUUAUUUAUAUUUAAGUGAAAGAUUAUAAAUAAAUGUCAAUACGUAUUUAAAUCAACAUAUUUUCCAAAAAAAAUUAUUUGAUGACCUUUUUGAAAGUGAAUUAUACCUAUACUAGAAACUAUGUCAGAGAAUAGCGUAUACGGUAAUUACGUGUAACUAAAAUGAAAUCGAAUCUAAUUAUUAUCCGUCCCGGGCCUGGACGAAGUAGCGCGGGAAGAACAGGAUGAAGACUCGGCCGAUGGAGUUUCGACAUCUUAUUCGUACUGGGAUGAAGAGUACCUCCUAGAGUUACUCGAUGCCGGAAAUGCAUCUAAUGAUAGUUCUUCUGAUAUUUAAAAUAAAUGUAUACAUAAUGUACAUAGUAAAACUUCA